CGAAUUUGAAAAUGAACCAAUAUAUUUAAUACUUGCUAUAGUUCAAAAUAUAAAACAAAUGCAAUCAAUGGGGAAUUAAAUGGAUUAAAAACUCUACAACAGAUGAAUCAAUAGUGAAACAAGAAUGUAAUGGAAAUACAUCUUCUGUUAAAUAAGAUGGAUUGUUCCACCUUCUUCAAACAGAGAAGCCUGCCUAGCCUAGAUCCCUAUUCUCUUCUCACACAAUAUUUUCAUUUUCAGUUUUCAAACGUCUGUUCCAAAACCUCUUCUUCCAAACCAUAGUUUUACCAGCAAAUCUUGUAAAACAGACUUGGUCAUCUCAGACCUCUCAGAGUUCAAAAACAAAAAAAAUUAGGAGCAAAUCAAGCAGAGAGGUUCUAUUUAACUCCACAAAGAGAACCAAUUCUAAAGGAUUAUAUUGAACAGGACUCAAUUUCAUUAACUUGUAACUUCUAACCGAACCAAGCCAAUGUUGACGAGAUAAAGCAAUAUCUUCAGUCAUCCAUUGGCAAUUUCUUUCUCUCUUUUCAAGACUUACAUACAAAAUACACAUCAUCUCCUCGUUGAUUAGACAUCAACUGAACUAGAACUACCAGGAGCCACCCUUUUUUCCCUGCUCAAAAGCCUCUUCAACGACCUUAACCGUUGUGUAGGCAUUGGCGACUUGGAUUCUUCCUCAGGAAAAUUGUCACUCAUUUGCACAGGAAUAUCAAUAACUAGCAUCUCAUCUUGCCUAGUAGAAGAAGAAGAGGAAGAAGAAGA
rnacentral:misc_RNA from 1 species